CCUACGGUAGGCAGCAGUUGGUGAUAUUGCACAAUGGGGUGAACCCUGCUGCAGCGACGCCGCGUGGGUGAAGAAGCGCCUCGGCGCGUAAAGCCCUGUCAGCAGGGAAGAAAAUGACGGUACCUGAAGAAUAAGCCCCGGCUAACUACGUGCCAGCAGCCGCGGUAAUACGUAGGGGGCAAGCGUUAUCCGGAUUUACUGGGUGUAAAGGUGGCGCAGACGGCGAUGCAAGCCAGGAGUGAAAGCCCGGGGCCCAACCCCGGGACUGCUCUUGGAACUGCGUGGCUGGAGUGCAGGAGGGGCAGGCGGAAUUCCUGGUGUAGCGGUGAAAUGCGUAGAUAUCAGGAGGAACACCGGUGGCGAAGGCGGCCUGCUGGACUGCAACUGACGUUGAGGCCCGAAAGCGUGGGGAGCAAACAGGAUUAGAUACCCGGGUAGUC
rnacentral:rRNA from 1 species